UACGUAGGGGGCGAGCGUUGUCCGGAAUCAUUGGGCGUAAAGCGCGUGUAGGCGGCCCGGUAAGUCCGCUGUGAAAGUCCAGGGCUCAACCCUCGAAUGCCGGUGGAUACUGUCGGGCUAGAGUGCGGAAGAGGCGAGUGGAAUUCCUGGUGUAGCGGUGAAAUGCGCAGAUAUCAGGAGGAACACCAAUUGCGAAGGCAGCUCGCUGGGACGUAACUGACGCUGAGACGCGAAAGCGUGGGGAGCAAACAGG
rnacentral:rRNA from 1 species